rnacentral:lncRNA from 1 species
CAGCCAUCCGAAAUGUCGGAAUAACUUUGCGAAUUGUUGCCAGCCUCGUUCCACUUUCUGACCCGAAAUGACCAAUCCCAUAAUUCCUGAGUUAGCCAUCUGAAAUGUCGGAACAACCUGGCGCGAAGAACUGGUGCUGUUCGAUGAGCUUAACUGCAUUGAAUCUGGUCAAGAAUUGGUCAGCAG